AUUGAACGCUGGCGGCAGGCCUAACACAUGCAAGUCGAACGAGUGGCGGACGGGUGAGUAAUGUCUGGGAAACUGCCCGAUGGAGGGGGAUAACUACUGGAAACGGUAGCUAAUACCGCAUACCAUCGGAUGUGCCCAGAUGGGAUUAGCUAGUAGGUGGGGUAACGGCUCACAUAGGCGACGAUCCCUAGCUGGUCUGAGAGGAUGACCAGCCACACUGGAACUGGGAAACGGUCCAGACUCCUAGGGGAGGAAGCAGAGGGGAUUAUUGGAAAAUGGGCGAAAGCCGGAUGCAGCCAUGCCGCGGGUAGGAAGAAGGCCUUCGGGUUGUAAAGUACUUUCAGCGAGGAGGCGUUACUCGCAGAAGAAGCACCGGCUAACUCCGUGCCAGCAGCCGCGGUAAUUC
rnacentral:rRNA from 1 species